GACGAACGCUGGCGGCGUGCUUAACACAUGCAAGUCGAACGGAAAGGCCCUUCGGGGUACUCGAGUGGCGAACGGGUGAGUAACACGUGGGUGAUCUGCCCUGCACUUUGGGAUAAGCCUGGGAAACUGGGUCUAAUACCGAAUAGGACCACGCGCUUCAUGGUGUGUGGUGGAAAGCUUUUGCGGUGUGGGAUGGGCCCGCGGCCUAUCAGCUUGUUGGUGGGGUAAUGGCCUACCAAGGCGACGACGGGUAGCCGGCCUGAGAGGGUGACCGGCCACACUGGGACUGAGAUACGGCCCAGACUCCUACGGGAGGCAGCAGUGGGGAAUAUUGCACAAUGGGCGCAAGCCUGAUGCAGCGACGCCGCGUGAGGGAUGACGGCCUUCGGGUUGUAAACCUCUUUCAAUAGGGACGAAGCGCAAGUGACGGUACCUAUAGAAGAAGCACCGGCCAACUACGUGCCAGCAGCCGCGGUAAUACGUAGGGUGCGAGCGUUGUCCCGAAUUACUGGGCGUAAAGAGCUCGUAGGUGGUUUGUCGCGUUGUUCGUGAAAACUCACAGCUUAACUGUGGGCGUGCGGGCGAUACGGGCAGACUAGAGUACUGCAGGGGAGACUGGAAUUCCUGGUGUAGCGGUGGAAUGCGCAGAUAUCAGGAGGAACACCGGUGGCGAAGGCGGGUCUCUGGGCAGUAACUGACGCUGAGGAGCGAAAGCGUGGGGAGCGAACAGGAUUAGAUACCCUGGUAGUCCACGCCGUAAACGGUGGGUACUAGGUGUGGGUUCCUUCCUUGGGAUCCGUGCCGUAGCUAACGCAUUAAGUACCCCGCCUGGGGAGUACGGCCGCAAGGCUAAAACUCAAAGGAAUUGACGGGGGCCCGCACAAGCGGCGGAGCAUGUGGAUUAAUUCGAUGCAACGCGAAGAACCUUACCUGGGUUUGACAUGCACAGGACGCCGGCAGAGAUGUCGGUUCCCUUGUGGCCUGUGUGCAGGUGGUGCAUGGCUGUCGUCAGCUCGUGUCGUGAGAUGUUGGGUUAAGUCCCGCAACGAGCGCAACCCUUGUCCUAUGUUGCCAGCGGGUUAUGCCGGGGACUCGUAGGAGACUGCCGGGGUCAACUCGGAAGAAGGUGGGGAUGACGUCAAGUCAUCAUGCCCCUUAUGUCCAGGGCUUCACACAUGCUACAAUGGCCGGUACAAAGGGCUGCGAUGCCGUGAGGUGGAGCGAAUCCUUUCAAAGCCGGUCUCAGUUCGGAUCGGGGUCUGCAACUCGACCCCGUGAAGUCGGAGUCGCUAGUAAUCGCAGAUCAGCAACGCUGCGGUGAAUACGUUCCCGGGCCU
rnacentral:rRNA from 1 species